AGGGGGAGCAUUCCAACGACAGUGAAGCGAGAUCGACAAGAACUCGUGGAGUUGUUGGAAGAGAGAAUGCCGAUAUGAGUAAACGAUAAACCGAGUGAGAAACUCGGUCGCCGUAAGCCCAAGGUUUCCCGGGCCAGGAUCAUCCUCCCGGGGUUAGUCGGGACCUAAGCCGAGGCCACAUGGCGUAGGCGAUGGAAAUCGGGUUAAUAUUCCCGAACCAGCUUGGAUGUGUUGACGUCAGCAGGGACGAAGAAAGAUAGCUCAGCCGGGCGAUGGUUCCGGUUCAAGCUCGUAGGUGGAUUCCCCAGGACCGUUCCGGACAAACAGGGAGUCGAGACACCGAGAAGCGAUGAGGGAUGGACCGCCUCGGCGGAAAGUCAAACUGAGUGAUUCUAUGCUUCCGAGAAAAGCUGCGGGCCGAGCAUUCCGGCUGUCCGUACCGCAAACCGACUCAGGUGGGCGGGAAGAGUAUUCCAAGGCGUUUGAGAGAACCGUGGUUAAGGAACUAGGCAAAUUGACACCGUAACUUCGGGAUAAGGUGUGCCU
rnacentral:rRNA from 1 species